UGGGGAAUAUUGCACAAUGGGCGCAAGCCUGAUGCAGCCAUGCCGCGUGUAUGAAGAAGGCCUUCGGGUUGUAAAGUACUUUCAGCGGGGAGGAAGGCGAUAAGGUUAAUAACCUUGUCGAUUGACGUUACCCGCAGAAGAAGCACCGGCUAACUCCGUGCCAGCAGCCGCGGUAAUACGGAGGGUGCAAGCGUUAAUCGGAAUUACUGGGCGUAAAGCGCACGCAGGCGGUCUGUCAAGUCGGAUGUGAAAUCCCCGGGCUCAACCUGGGAACUGCAUUCGACACUGGCAGGCUAGAGUCUUGUAGAGGGGGGUAGAAUUCCAGGUGUAGCGGUGAAAUGCGUAGAGAUCUGGAGGAAUACCGGUGGCGAAGGCGGCCCCCUGGACAAAGACUGACGCUCAGGUGCGAAAGCGUGGGGAGCAAACA
rnacentral:rRNA from 1 species